rnacentral:rRNA from 1 species
GUGGGGAAUUUUGGACAAUGGGCGCAAGCCUGAUCCAGCCAUGCCGCGUGCAGGAAGACGCAUCUAUGGUGUGUAAACUGCUUUUGUACGGGAAGAAACACUCCCUCGUGAGGGAGCUUGACGGUACCGUAAGAAUAAGGAUCGGCUAACUCCGUGCCAGCAGCCGCGGUAAUACGGAGGAUCCAAGCGUUAUCCGGAAUCAUUGGGUUUAAGGGGUCCGUAGGCGGUUUAAUAAGACAGUGGUGAAAGCCCAUCGCUCAACGAUGGAACGGCCAUUGAUACUGUUAGACUUGAAUUACAAGGAAGUAACUAGGAUAUGUAGUGUAGCGGUGAAAUGCUUAGAUAUUACAUGGAAUACCAAUUGCGAAGGCAGGUUACUACUUGUGGAUUGACGCUGAUGGACGAAAGCGUGGGGAGCGAACAGGAUUAGAUACCCGAGUAGUCC